CGCGGCCUAUCAGCUUGUUGGUGGGGUAAUGGCCUACCAAGGCGACGACGGGUAGCCGGCCUGAGAGGGUGAUCGGCCACACUGGGACUGAGACACGGCCCAGACUCCUACGGGAGGCAGCAGUGGGGAAUAUUGCACAAUGGGCGAAAGCCUGAUGCAGCGACGCCGCGUGGGGGAUGACGGUCUUCGGAUUGUAAACCCCUUUCAGUAGGGACGAAGCGCAAGUGACGGUACCUGCAGAAGAAGCACCGGCCAACUACGUGCCAGCAGCCGCGGUAAUACGUAGGGUGCGAGCGUUGUCCGGAAUUACUGGGCGUAAAGAGCUCGUAGGCGGUUUGUCACGUCGUCUGUGAAAUCCUCCAGCUUAACUGGGGGCGUGCAGGCGAUACGGGCAGACUUGAGUACUACAGGGGAGACUGGAAUUCCUGGUGUAGCGGUGAAAUGCGCAGAUAUCAGGAGGAACACCGGUGGCGAAGGCGGGUCUCUGGGUAGUAACUGACGCUGAGGAGCGAAAGCAUGGGUAGCGAACAGGAUUAGAUACCCUGGUAGUCCAUGCCGUAAACGGUGGGCGCUAGGUGUGGGGUCCUUCCACGGACUCCGUGCCGUAGCUAACGCAUUAAGCGCCCCGCCUGGGGAGUACGG
rnacentral:rRNA from 1 species